ensembl:lincRNA Gm16086 predicted gene 16086
GGUUGACUGGUUCCCUGAGGAUAUAAGGCUCAUAUCAGCGACCUCUUCUUCCAUCCUUCAGAGCAAGUCUAAAAGCAGCUGAUUAUCAUCCUGUUUGUUGGUUCUGAAUUGAGCCAGUCCUAAAGGACCAGGACUUCAUUUUCUGUUGUGAAGAACACAACACAACACAACACACCAGCCUGGCUGACAGGAGGCAGCGGAAAACUGAAGACCAGGAGAUUUUUCCAAAAUGGCCCCCUGACAUGCACAUCUAAGGCUGGCCCUGAUUGACAUCAAGUGCAGCAAUUAAACCCACCAGCUGAUGAAGAAUGGAAGCUCCAGUGAGUUGCGAUGCUUCCAGGGCAAUGAUCUGAGAGCCCGGAGAAAAGCAG